UACGUAGGGUGCGAGCGUUGUCCGGAAUUAUUGGGCGUAAAGGGCUCGUAGGCGGUUUGUCGCGUCGGGAGUGAAAUCCUACGGCUUAACUGUGGGCUUGCUUUCGAUACGGGCAGACUAGAGGUAUGCAGGGGAGAACGGAAUUCCUGGUGUAGCGGUGAAAUGCGCAGAUAUCAGGAGGAACACCGGUGGCGAAGGCGGCGACCUGGGCCAAUAUUGACGCUGAGGUGCGAAAGCGUGGGGAGCAAACAGG
rnacentral:rRNA from 1 species